rnacentral:rRNA from 1 species
AUUGAACGCUGGCGGCAGGCCUAACACAUGCAAGUCGAGCGGAUGAAGGGAGCUUGCUCCUGGAUUCAGCGGCGGACGGGUGAGUAAUGCCUAGGAAUCUGCCUGGUAGUGGGGGGUAACGUCCGGAAACGGGCGCUAAUACCGCAUACGUCCUGAGGGAGAAAGUGGGGGAUCUUCGGACCUCACGCUCUCAGAUGAGCCUAGGUCGGAUUAGCUAGUUGGUGGGGUAAAGGCCUACCAAGGCGACGAUCCGUAACUGGUCUGAGAGGAUGAUCAGUCACACUGGAACUGAGACACGGUCCAGACUCCUACGGGAGGCAGCAGUGGGGAAUAUUGGACAAUGGGCGAAAGCAUGAUCCAGCCAGGCCGCGUGUGUGAAGAAGGUCUUCGGAUUGUAAAGCACUUUAAGUUGGGAGGAAGGGCAGUAAGUUAAUACCUUGCUGUUUUGACGUUACCAACAGAAUAAGCACCGGCUAACUUCGUG